rnacentral:rRNA from 1 species
CCUGCCCUUGUCCAUCGGAUAACCCGUCGAAAGGCGGCCUAACACGAUAUGCAGUCCACAGAAGGCAUCUGACGCGGACGAAAUGUAAAGGAGAAGGAUGGGGAUGCGUCUGAUUAGCUUGUUGGCGGGGUAACGGCCCACCAAGGCGACGAUCAGUAGGGGUUCUGAGAGGAAGGUCCCCCACAUUGGAACUGAGACACGGUCCAAACUCCUACGGGAGGCAGCAGUGAGGAAUAUUGGUCAAUGGGCGAGAGCCUGAACCAGCCAAGUAGCGUGCAGGAAGACGGCCCUAUGGGUUGUAAACUGCUUUUAUGCGGGGAUAAAGUGAGCCACGUGUGGCUUAUUGCAGGUACCGCAUGAAUAAGGACCGGCUAAUUCCGUGCCAGCAGCCGCGGUAAUACGGAAGGUCCGGGCGUUAUCCGGAUUUAUUGGGUUUAAAGGGAGCGUAGGCCGUCUGAUAAGCGUGUUGUGAAAUGUCGGGGCUCAACCUGGGCAUUGCAGCGCGAACUGUCAGACUUGAGUGCGCGGGAAGUAGGCGGAAUUCGUCGUGUAGCGGUGAAAUGCUUAGAUAUGACGAAGAACUCCGAUUGCGAAGGCAGCCUGCUGUAGCGCAACUGACGCUGAAGCUCGAAAGCGUGGGUAUCGAACAGGAUUAGAUACCCUGGUAGUCCACGCGGUAAACGAUGGAUGCUCGCUGUUUGCGUCUGACGUAAGCGGCCAAGCGAAAGCGUUAAGCAUCCCACCUGGGGAGUACGCCGGCAACGG